rnacentral:rRNA from 1 species
GGCGUAGGGCGCUUUACCAUGCAGUCGAACGGUAACAGGGACUUCGGUCUGCUGACGAGUGGCGAACGGGUGAGUAAUGCAUCGGAACGUACCGAGUAAUGGGGGAUAACGCAUCGAAAGGUGUGCUAAUACCGCAUACGCCCUGAGGGGGAAAGCGGGGGAUCGAAAGACCUCGCGUUAUUCGAGCGGCCGAUGCCGGAUUAGCUAGUUGGUGGGGUAAAGGCUCACCAAGGCGACGAUCCGUAGCAGGUCUGAGAGGAUGAUCUGCCACACUGGGACUGAGACACGGCCCAGACUCCUACGGGAGGCAGCAGUGGGGAAUUUUGGACAAUGGGGGCAACCCUGAUCCAGCCAUGCCGCGUGUCUGAAGAAGGCCUUCGGGUUGUAAAGGACUUUUGUCAGGGAGGAAAUCCCUAAGGUUAAUACCCUUGGGGGAUGACAGUACCUGAAGAAUAAGCACCGGCUAACUACGUGCCAGCAGCCGCGGUAAUACGUAGGGUGCAAGCGUUAAUCGGAAUUACUGGGCGUAAAGCGUGCGCAGGCGGUUUGAAAAGUCAGCUGUGAAAGCCCCGGGCUCAACCUGGGAACUGCGGUUGAAACUCUCAAGCUAGAGUGCGUCAGAGGGGGGUGGAAUUCCACGUGUAGCAGUGAAAUGCGUAGAGAUGUGGAGGAACACCAAUGGCGAAGGCAGCCCCCUGGGAUGACACUGACGCUCAUGCACGAAAGCGUGGGGAGCAAACAGGAUUAGAUACCCCUGGUAGUCCACGCCCUAAACGAUGUCGACUAGCCGUUGGAGAUUUCGGUUUCUGGUGGCGCAGCUAACGCGUGAAGUCGACCGCCUGGGGAGUACGGUCGCAAGAUUAAAACUCAAAGGAAUUGACGGGGGCCCGCACAAGCGGUGGAUGAUGUGGAUUAAUUCGAUGCAACGCGAAAAACCUUACCUGGUCUUGACAUGUACCGAACCUCGAAGAGAUUUGAGGGUGCCCGAAAGGGAGCGGUAACACAGGUGCUGCAUGGCUGUCGUCAGCUCGUGUCGUGAGAUGUUGGGUUAAGUCCCGCAACGAGCGCAACCCUUGUCAUUAGUUGCCAGCAUUAAGUUGGGCACUCUAAUGAGACUGCCGGUGACAAACCGGAGGAAGGUGGGGAUGACGUCAAGUCCUCAUGGCCCUUAUGACCAGGGCUUCACACGUCAUACAAUGGUCGGUACAGAGGGUCGCUAAGCCGCGAGGUAGUGCCAAUCUCAUAAAACCGAUCGUAGUCCGGAUCGCAGUCUGCAACUCGACUGCGUGAAGUCGGAAUCGCUAGUAAUCGCGGAUCAGCAUGUCGCGGUGAAUACGUUCCCGGGCCUUGUACACACCGCCCGUCACACCAUGGGAGUGGAAUCCGCCAGAAGUGGGUAGGGUAACCGUAAGGAGCCCGCUACCACGUAGUAGCAUCUGCCAAAAGGCA